GAAACUGUGUCAUGGGGGAGAUUGUGACACCCCAUAUGAUAAGGAUAAGGGUAGAUAGUAUAUAAGAUCCCACAUUAUUUGGGAAGGAGAAUUUAUUGCUCUUUAUAAGGUUUCAAUGGAGCUCCAAUUGUAUCAUUGACUAGUCGUUUUGGAGUAUAGGUCAUGUGAUUUGGGUCUUCUAUUAGGACGUUACAAAUGGUAUCAGAGCCUAUUCCAACCAGAAAUGUGGGACUUGAACCGUGUCACUUAC